GCGGUAAUAGUUCAACUGGAUAGAAUAAUCGGCUACGAACCGAUAGGUUGCGGGUUCAAGUCCUGCUUACCGUACCA
rnacentral:tRNA from 1 species